rnacentral:rRNA from 1 species
GAUCCUGGCUCAGGACGAACGCUGGCGGCGUGCUUAACACAUGCAAGUCGAACGGUAAGGCCCUUUCGGGGGUACACGAGUGGCGAACGGGUGAGUAACACGUGGGUAAUCUGCCCUGCACUUCGGGAUAAGCCUGGGAAACCGGGUCUAAUACCGGAUAUGAGCUCCUGCCGCAUGGUGGGGGUUGGAAAGUUUUUCGGUGCAGGAUGAGUCCGCGGCCUAUCAGCUUGUUGGUGGGGUAAUGGCCUACCAAGGCGACGACGGGUAG